GUGAAAACUCGAAAGGUGGCAAUGAAGGUCUGUGGUUUGGUUUUAACAUUCGGUCCUGCUUGGAGUCUGGUUUGCAGACUUGGCCCAAGUGCAGAUUUAUAUGCAUUGCAUAGCCAACUUCGCUCUGCAGAGGGAAGUCUGAGGGGAACCACAGAACCUACAUGACUGAAAAAUAGCCGUGCAGGACACAUUGGUGACAGAAGCCUCAAAAAGGACACAAACCACGAAGGCAGUGAUGAUGACAAAGAAACAGAGCUGGAAUGGAACUCCCAGCUUGCUGUCAGGCCCGUCGCCGCUCCCCAUCCAUGGCAUCACUGAGCACAGGCUGAAAGAGCAGCGUGUGCUUUUGAUCAUGGGUAAUAACAUACAGUCAUCUCUGAUUGGUGUGCAUCAUUCCUGCAUAGUUUCUCUAGGAAAAAAAUUGUGCGGAAAUGGAUGCGACUUCUCUCUUGGGCGUUUGGAGUUGCUAGAGAGUGGAGAGGCCAUGUGGCCUCGAGGAGCUCACGGGCAGGACUGCCCCAUCUCUGGGAGCCUUUGUUUGUACCUCUGCAUUGUGAUCUCACAUGCACUCAACUUCCAGGCUUCUUCCGAAGAUAACAAGGUCCUCUGGCUUUUCCUGACUUGUGUAGGCAUGCACAAUCCAUUCAGCUCAGCAAUUGGUCUUGGGAGCAGAGAAAGGAGGAGGGGCCGGCUAAGCCCAUAAGUUGGGGAAAGACUACGAAGCAGUGAGCUGUUUGGCCUCUGAGUAGACCUCUGGUGUGAGUCGAAGGUGUGUGUAUUCCACUUCCUUCUAGAAGUUUCCUUAUGUGUGUGUUUGGGGAGGAGAUAGGUGUGAUAAGGGGCCACCGCAAAGAAGCCUUCGUGUCUGUGUGGGUGUGAUCUGAGGCCAGGGGAUCCAAGCCCAGGGCAUCUAACCCCUGGCCUGACUCGACUCUACGUAUGCUGUGAUUCCUUCACAUGAGGCCAUUCAUGGCAGCCCUAAGAGCCUUCUGGGUGGAGUGAGGCCCAGACAGGCUUCCUUGUAGGAUGGGAUGCUGAAAACCACAGCCUGGCUUCUGCUCCACCUCAAAUGAGAAUACUGACCCUCGUGGUACCUGUUCUGUGGGCUCGUCCAACUCAAUUCUGCUGCUUUCUUUUUUAUUCGGCCAUUAUUCUUCCAUUACUCAUCCUUAAAAAUACUGUGUAACAUAAUUUCAUAUGCCGCUUUGUAAGUAGUGUUUGAAUUAGUGGAUUCAAGUAGCAUUUAAGGAAGUUUUAAAUUCCAGAACAUCUAGUGUACUAGUAAAUGGCUUUGAACUAUAGCAGAAGAGAUUGAAGUUAGGCAUUAAGAAGAAUGUACUGGCUAUGAAGACGGUUCAAUAGCCAGCCAAGGAGUGUUGUGAAAGUGCUCUCUGGAUCUUUUAUGGCCAUGGUGUCUCUGAAGCCAUUUGCUUAGGGCCCUGUUUGUAGAGAGAAGAGUAUUUUUUUCUCUUAGAGUCUGAAUUCACUGAGUUUCUUUCCUCUGUGACCAAAAAUGAGUAGCUCCUGGCUCUCUUAGGGGGAAGGGGAAAGCUCCUGCACCCUAUUCUUGCAGAUACAUAUCACAAGGAAGCCAGGGCUUCACCUAAGGUUGCAUUUGUAAAACACAGGAAGGUGCUUACUUAGAUAAUAAAGCAAAGCCCAGGGGCCA
ensembl:lncRNA